GUGGGGAAUAUUGGGCAAUGGGCGAAAGCCUGACCCAGCAACGCCGCGUGAAGGAAGAAGGUUUUCGGAUCGUAAACUUCUAUCCUUGGUGAAGAUAAUGACGGUAGCCAAGAAGGAAGCCCCGGCUAACUACGUGCCAGCAGCCGCGGUAAUACGUAGGGGGCAAGCGUUGUCCGGAAUGAUUGGGCGUAAAGGGCGCGUAGGCGGCCCGGUAAGUCUGAAGUGAAAGUCCUGCUUUUAAGGUGGGAAUUGCUUUGGAUACUCUCGGGCUUGAGUGCAGGAGAGGUAAGCGGAAUUCCCGGUGUAGCGGUGAAAUGCGUAGAGAUCGGGAGGAACACCAGUGGCGAAGGCGGCUUACUGGACUGUGUCUGACGCUGAGGAGCGAAAGCCAGGGGAGCGAACGGGAUUAGAAACCCUUGUAGUCC
rnacentral:rRNA from 1 species